rnacentral:lncRNA from 1 species
GAAAACUCAUUUUUGGAGCGGUUCUGUGGAUUAUUGUUAGGAGCCUUUUCUAUCAUUUUUGCUUACUAGCCAUUAUCAUCAUCAUAAACACCAUCCUCUAUCUAUCCAUCUCUCUCUCUCUCUCUCUCUCUCUCUCUCUCUCUCUCUCUCUCUCUCUCUCUCGCUCUCUCUCUCUCUCUCCCUCCCUCCCUCCCCCCUGGCUUGUAGUGUUGAAGAUGUGAAGAGGCUCAUAGUGAUUAUCCAGUGGUUAACUGUCAAUGACCAGACAUAGCUAUGAGAUCUGAAGGCUUGCCCAGAAACAUUUGUUUCUUUUAAGAUAUGUUUAUUGAAUCUUAAAUCAUUUUUGUUCCUUAGUUAUUCUAUGGUUGUAUUUUCUUGGUUUCCACAUAUUUAUUAUGCUCCUCCUUUAUUAUGUCCUUUAUUUACCAUUGCUUCGAAGUUGCGACUGCAUUUCAUUGUAGUAGUGAUGCUGUGUUGACGAUCAGAUCUACUCUUUUGUCUAUUCUGUGCGUCUGCAUGAUAUAACUGCAUAUGCCCACUCGUUUUUGUUUAUUGUUUUUAACCAUGUUUUCUAGUGUAUCUAUUUUGCUGCCUCAGGAAGAUGGUUCAAUGUUUAUUAGCCUAAUGAUGGAAAACUCAUUUUUGGAGCGGUUCUGUGGAUUAUUGUUAGGAGCCUUUUCUAUCAUUUUUGCUGUACUAGCCAUUAUCAUCAUCAUAAACACCAUCCUCUCUCUCUGUCUCUCUGUCUCUCUGUCUCUCUCUCUCACUCUCUCUCUGUCUCUCUCUCUCUCUCUGUGGCUUGUACGGUUGGAGAUGUGAAGAGGCUCGUAGUGAUAAUCCAGUGGUUAACCGUCAAUGACCAGAUAUAGCUAUGAGAUCUGAAGGCUUGCCCAGAGACAUUUGUUCCUUUUAAGAUAUGGUUAUUGAAUCUUAAAUCAUUUUUGUUCCUCAGUUAUUCUAUGGUUGUAUUUUCUUGGUUUCCACAUUUUUUACACUCCUCCUUUAUUAUGUCCUUUAUUUACCAUUGCAUCAAAGUUGCGACUGCGUUUUGUUGUAGUAGUGAUGCUGUGUUAACGAUCAGAUCUACUCUUUUGUCUAUUCUGUGUCUCCAUGAUAUAACUGUAGAUGCCCACUCGUUUUUGUUUUUUUUAAACUGUGUUUUCUAGUGUAGCUAUUUUGCUGCCUCAGGACGAUGGUUCAAUUUUUAUUAGCCUAAUGAUGGAAAACUCAUUUUUGGAGCGGUUCUGUGGAUUAUUGUUAGGAGCCUUUUCUAUCAUUUUUGCUUACUAGCCAUUAUCAUCAUCAUAAACACCAUCCUCUAUCUAUCCAUCUCUCUCUCUCUCUCUCUCUCUCUCUCUCUCUCUCUCUCUCGCGCGGGCGUGUAGAGAUGAAGAUAAAAAGAGGCUCAUAGUGAUAAUCCAGUGGUUAAAUGUCAAUGAAUAUAUAUAGCUAUGAGAUCUGAAGGCUUGUCUAUAGACAUUUUUUGUCCUUCUAAGAUAUGCUUAUUAAAUUGUAAAUCACUUUUCGUCCUUAGUUAUUCUAUGGUGUUUUAUCUUCAUUUCUACAUAUCUAUUACGCUCCUCUUUAUUAUGCCCCUUAUUGACCAUUAUAUGGAAUUUGUGACUGCAUUUCGUUUUAAACAUUUGCACUGAAUAAUAUGUAUUUCCCAUGUGGUGCAAAUAUCCUUCCCAAGGUGCCCUUGAAACGCUGAUAAAAUUAAUGUGAUGGAACUUCAGUCAACUGCAAAUAGUAGAGCGUCCUGGAAUGUGGUUAUUUUGACAUUGUCAAUGGCACAGUUAAGAGUUUCAAUUGGUUUGUUUUUCUUUUGGUUUGGUGUGACUAUUUGGCAACUAUUGUAUGAAAUUUUGUUUGCUAGUGCUAGUUUAGAUAUUUAAGGUGUAUGGCUAACUGUAUGAGAUUCCAUAGAUUAAAUUGUGUUUGAUGGUAGAUUCCAUUUUAGUACUCCAUUGAUCUGAUCUUUGUUGGAAUUCAAAUAAAAGGUGAAGUUAUUAUUGUAGGUUUGAGCAUAUGAGACUUUAAAAAACAACGCUGUACUAAUGAUCAGAUCUAGUGUCUUUUGUUUAUUCUGUGCCUUUCCACGUUCUACUUGUGGUUGUCUGAGUUUAUAUUUCUUGCCUUUUUUAUUUUUUGGGAUUACCUUGUAAUGUAAUCUAACAAAUUUGCUGCCUCAGAAAAUUGGUGCAAUUUUUUAUUAGCCUGGUGAUGGAAACCUCUUUUUUUUGUUAUGAUUUUUAUAGCACUUUAUAUUAUAAGACUGCAGGUACCUGAAUAGUUUUUUGUAACACAGUUUCUUAUUACUUUCAAUGAGCUUUAAAAUUUAAAUCUGGUUUUCAUUUGUGAAGUACAGAACAGUUAUGAACUGUUUGAGUACCUUUGAGCUUACUUGAUGUCUCAAUUUUCUUACUAGAUAUAUUUAUAUAAACUAAAAUCUUUAGAAUAUUUAAGAAUAUAUAUUAAUUUAUAAUUUAUAUAUUAAUUAUUUAAUUGAAAUGUAAUUUAAUGGUGUCAGGCAUUUGAUGUCAAGUUGGUUCAAAAUCCGCCAAUGUCUAUGACCAUGGUUUGUAUUAUGGCUUGUUGUGUAUAAUGGCAUAGUUUUUAAGUGGAUUUUAAAAUUUUCUUUUCCGUGGUCUGGGUUAAUUGCUAAGUGGGACUUUGGUGAACAAUGAUACAUGCAUUGGGCUUGGAGCAGUUUAUGACUGCAGCCAUUGAUGGAAAUGCAACCUAGAAAGCUAUAUAUGACCCCUGUAGAAAUCCUUGCAUUCCUGUGAUACGGGUGUUGCAAUGUUAGGAUGAAAUUUUUAUCUGCUAGUUGUAGGGGUAUGGCUGACUGCAAGAGAUUCCAUACAAGUAAAUUGUGUUUAUCUGGUAUAUUUUCAAAUUGGGUGUUCAGGACAUGGUGUUGAUUGAAAAUCUACUCAUGCUCAUGGCUACGGUCGUAUUUGUGGCGAGUAAUUUAUAGUGAAUUGGUAUUAAAAUCGAGUGAUGUACAUGCAUGCACUGAGCUCCGAGCUGUGGUUAUUGAUGGAAAUGCAGGCAGCUUAGAAAACUAUAUAUGAGCCUCCAUGAAAUCCUUUUGCUUUUCUGUUCGCAGGUGUUGGAUUUAAAAUGAAAUUUCUGUUUGGGCUAGAUUGGAUUCUUAAGGUAUGGAUUGGACUUUGUAGUAUUAAACUGUGUAUGGAAGUGGAUUUUGUGUGAUUACAAUCAUUGGAUCAGUUGCACUCCUUUGGCCUGAUGAUGGAAAACUCAUUUCUGGGAGCGGUACUAUGGAUUAUUAUAAGUAUGAGCCUUUUCUAUCAUUCUUUCCAUGCUAGUCCUCAUCAUCAUCAUCAUCAUCAUCAUCAUCACCACCACUCUCUUUCUCUCUCUCUCUCUCUCUCUCUCUCUCUCUCUCUCUCUGUGGCAUGCAUGGCCGAAGAUGUGAAGAGGCUCAUACUGAUAAUCCAGCAGCUAACCGUCGAUGACCAGAUAUAGCUAUGAGAUCUGAAGGCUUA